UACGUAGGGGGCGAGCGUUGUCCGGAAUUACUGGGCGUAAAGGGCGCGUAGGCGGCCCGCUAAGUCUGUUGUGAAAGACCGGGGCUCAACCCCGGGGUGUCAACGGAGACUGGUGGGCUGGAGGCCUGCAGAGGAGUGCGGAAUUCCUGGUGUAGCGGUGGAAUGCGUAGAGAUCAGGAGGAACACCGAUGGCGAAGGCAGCACUCUGGGCGGGACCUGACGCUGAGGCGCGAAAGCUGGGGGAGCGAACGGG
rnacentral:rRNA from 1 species